rnacentral:lncRNA from 1 species
AUGCUCAGCAGCGGCUGGAAGUGGACACCCAGGCCUGACAGUGCUGAAGCUUCUCCGGCAUCAGUGGAAUCUGGUGUCUAUUUAAUUUUCCUCUGGUGGCUUUUUCUAACCUUCGCCUCCAGAGUGCGGGGAAUACAGGUGUGUGGAGCAACGCCCAGACCUCUGUGCUCGCGCUGUAUGUGCUCAUCUGAUGCAUUCUGGAAACCUGAGGCACAGGGAGGUGCUAUAACUUGCUCAGUCACAAAGCUUGUCACUGUGAAGCUGGGAAUUGAACCAUCAGGCCCUGCUGGCUUUGACCAGUUGUGGGGUUGGGGGCACUGGAAGAAGGUAAAAUCUCCAAGGAGCCCCAGUACUUCAGUGAUGAGGAAGCAAGGUCAGAGGAGAGUGGGGAGCAGAGGGUGUAGACCGUGGGGCUGGGCAGGGGUCUCUCCCUGUGUCUGGUCCACGUUACAUUGCCACUCACUGGGCCUCCCGUGCCUCAGUUUCCCCAUCAGUACAGUGAGGAUGGCAGUAACGGGUCCGCACCUCGAUCGCUCGGCUGCAGUGAAGCCUAAAGGGGUUAACGGGCUGGUGGAGCGGCGAGGGGGGCGUGCCGGGGCCUGCGCUCGCUCGCUCCGGUGAGGGGCCGGGCCUGGCAGGGCUAAUGAGCAGGUGAGGCCGUGCACAGCGCGCAGACGGGGCUGAGCUCAGCGUCUAGGCCGGUGGCGAUGGCCGGGCCGGGGUGUGGGGCCCGCAGCGCUGCUCCUCUCCUGCUCCUGCUGCUCCUGCCCCGGGCCCUGCCGGACGG